GAUGAACGCUAGCUACAGGCUUAACACAUGCAAGUCGAGGGGCAGCAUGGACCCAGCUUUGCUGGGUUUGAUGGCGACCGGCGCACGGGUGAGUAACGCGUAUCCAACCUGCCCUUUACUCCGGGAUAGUCUCCUGAAAGGGAGUUUAAUACCGGAUGUGUUUGUCUUUCCGCAUGGGAGCGACAAAUAAAGAUUAAUUGGUAAAGGAUGGGGAUGCGUCCCAUUAGCUUGUUGGCGGGGUAACGGCCCACCAAGGCGACGAUGGGUAGGGGUUCUGAGAGGAAGGUCCCCCACAUUGGAACUGAGACACGGUCCAAACUCCUACGGGAGGCAGCAGUGAGGAAUAUUGGUCAAUGGGCGGGAGCCUGAACCAGCCAAGUAGCGUGAAGGACGACGGCCCUACGGGUUGUAAACUUCUUUUAUAAGGGAAUAAAGUUCGCCACGUGUGGUGUUUUGUAUGUACCUUAUGAAUAAGCAUCG
rnacentral:rRNA from 1 species